rnacentral:rRNA from 1 species
UCUUGCGCAAUGGGCGAAAGCCUGACGCAACAACGCCGCGUGCGGGAUGAAGCCCUUCGGGCUGUAAACCGCUUUCAGCAGGAACGAAAAUGACGGUACCUGCAGAAGAAGGAGCGGCCAACUACGUGCCAGCAGCCGCGGUGACACGUAGGCUCCAAGCGUUGUCCGGAUUUAUUGGGCGUAAAGAGCUCGUAGGCGGUUUAGUAAGUCGGGUGUUAAAACUCUGGGCUCAACCCGGAGAGGCCAUCCGAUACUGCUGUGACUUGAGUUCAGGAGGGGAGCGGGGAAUUCCUAGUGUAGCGGUGAAAUGCGCAGAUAUUAGGAGGAACACCGGUGGCGAAGGCGCCGCUCUGACUGAAACUGACGCGAGGAGCGA